rnacentral:rRNA from 1 species
CAUUCCCUACGGGGGGCAGCAGUGGGGAAUAUUGCACAAUGGGGGAAACCCUGAUGCAGCGACGCCGCGUGAGUGAAGAAGUAAUUCGGUAUGUAAAGCUCUAUCAGCAGGGAAGAAGAUGACGGUACCUGACCAAGAAGCCCCGGCUAACUACGUGCCAGCAGCCGCGGUAAUACGUAGGGGGCAAGCGUUAUCCGGAUUUACUGGGUGUAAAGGGAGCGCAGACGGCAGUGCAAGUCUGGAGUGAAAGCCCGGGGCCCAACCCCGGAACUGCUCUGGAAACUGUGCGGCUAG